GUCCUCGUAGCUCAGGUGGAUAGAGCGGCGGUUUCCUAAACCGCAGGCCACAGGUUCGAGUCCUGUCGAGGAUACCA
rnacentral:tRNA from 1 species